rnacentral:rRNA from 1 species
AACGAACGCUGGCGGCAGGCCUAACACAUGCAAGUCGAGCGCCCUUUCGGGGGAGCGGCGGACGGGUGAGUAACGCGUGGGAAUAUGCCCUUCUCUACGGAAUAGCCUCGGGAAUCUGAGAGUAAUACCGUAUACGCCCUGUGGGGGAAAGAUUUAUCGGGGAAGGAUUAGCCCGCGUUGGAUUAGGUAGUUGGUGGGGUAAUGGCCUACCAAGCCGACGAUCCAUAGCUGGUUUGAGAGGAUGAUCAGCCACACUGGGACUGAGACACGGCCCAGACUCCUACGGGAGGCAGCAGUGGGGAAUCUUAGACAAUGGGGGCAACCCUGAUCUAGCCAUGCCGCGUGAGUGAUGAAGGCCUUAGGGUUGUAAAGCUCUUUCAGCUGGGAAGAUAAUGACGGUACCAGCAGAAGAAGCCCCGGCUAACUCCGUG